GUGAUGACCUAGCGCCGCCGCACUGAGACGUGAGGACGGCCAUCCUAUCUGA
rnacentral:snoRNA from 1 species